rnacentral:rRNA from 1 species
UACAGAGACUGCAAGCGUUAUUCGGAUUCACUGGGCGUAAAGGGUGCGCAGGCGGCGACGUGUGUGAGGCGUGAAAGCCCGGGGCUUAACCCCGGAAUUGCGCCUCAAACUACAUCGCUAGAGCAUUGGAGAGGGUAGCAGAAUUCACGGUGUAGCAGUGAAAUGCGUAGAUAUCGUGAGGAAUACCAGAGGCGAAGGCGGCUACCUGGACAAUUGCUGACGCUCAGGCACGAAAGCGUGGGGAGCGAACAGG